AGGAAUCGUACCCCAAACCGACACAGGUGGUCGGGUAGAGAAUACCAAGGCGCUUGAGAGAACUCGGGUGAAGGAACUAGGCAAAAUGGUACCGUAACUUCGGGAGAAGGUACGCUCUUGAUGGUGAAGUCCCUCGCGGAUGGAGCUGACGAGAGUCGCAGAUACCAGGUGGCUGCAACUGUUUAUUAAAAACACAGCACUGUGCAAAAUCGCAAGAUGACGUAUACGGUGUGACGCCUGCCCGGUGCCGGAAGGUUAAUUGAUGGGGUUAGCGCAAGCGAAGCUCUUGAUCGAAGCCCCGGUAAACGGCGGCCGUAACUAUAACGGUCCUAAGGUAGCGAAAUUCCUUGUCGGGUAAGUUCCGACCUGCACGAAUGGCGUAAUGAUGGCCACGCUGUCUCCACCCGAGACUCAGUGAAAUUGAAAUCGCUGUGAAGAUGCAGUGUACCCGCGGCUAGACGGAAAGACCCCGUGAACCUUUACUACAGCUUGGCACUGAACAUUGAACCUACAUGUGUAGGAUAGGUGGGAGGCUAUGAAGACGUGACGCCAGUUGCGUUGGAGCCGUCCUUGAAAUACCACCCUUGUAUGUUUGAUGUUCUAACUUAGACCCAUUAUCUGGGUUGAGGACAGUGCCUGGUGGGUAGUUUGACUGGGGCGGUCUCCUCCCAAAGAGUAACGGAGGAGCACGAAGGUGGGCUAAUCACGGUUGGACAUCGUGAGGUUAGUGCAAUGGCAUAAGCCCGCUUAACUGCGAGAAUGACGGUUCGAGCAGGUGCGAAAGCAGGUCAUAGUGAUCCGGUGGUUCUGUAUGGAAGGGCCAUCGCUCAACGGAUAAAAGGUACUCCGGGGAUAACAGGCUGAUACCGCCCAAGAGUUCAUAUCGACGGCGGUGUUUGGCACCUCGAUGUCGGCUCAUCACAUCCUGGGGCUGAAGUCGGUCCCAAGGGUAUGGCUGUUCGCCAUUUAAAGUGGUACGCGAGCUGGGUUUAGAACGUCGUGAGACAGUUCGGUCCCUAUCUGCCGUGGGCGUUGGAAGAUUGAAGGGGGCUGCUCCUAGUACGAGAGGACCGGAGUGGACGAACCUCUGGUGUUCGGGUUGUGUCGCCAGACGCAUUGCCCGGUAGCUAAGUUCGGAAU
rnacentral:rRNA from 1 species